rfam:Caldanaerobius fijiensis DSM 17918 genome assembly, contig: EJ21DRAFT_scaffold00052.52
CAGUUCGGUCCCUAUCCGUCGCGGGCGCAGGAAAUUUGAGAGGAGCCUUUCCUAGUACGAGAGGACCGGAAAGGACGGACCGAUGGUGAACCAGUUGCAGUGCCAACUGCACGGCUGGGAAGCCAAGUCCGGGAGUGAUAAACGCUGAAAGCAUCUAAGCGUGAAGCACGCCUCAAGAUAAGAUUUCCCAUACCGUAAAGGUAGUAAGACCCCUCGAAGAAGACGAGGUAGAUAGGCUUAAGGUGUAAGAGCAGAAAUGCUUUAAGCUGGUAAGUACUAAUAGGUCGAGGCCUUGACCUU